AUUGAACGCUGGCGGCAGGCUUAACACAUGCAAGUCGAGCGGAGAUGAGGUGCUUGCACCUUAUCUUAGCGGCGGACGGGUGAGUAAUGCUUAGGAAUCUGCCUAUUAGUGGGGGACAACAUUCCGAAAGGAAUGCUAAUACCGCAUACGUCCUACGGGAGAAAGCAGGGGAUCUUCGGACCUUGCGCUAAUAGAUGAGCCUAAGUCGGAUUCGCUAGUUGGUGGGGUAAGGCCUACCAAGGCGACGAUCUGUAGCGGGUCUGAGAGGAUGAUCCGCCACACUGGGACUGAGACACGGCCCAGACUCCUACGGGAGGGAGCAGUGGGGAAUAUUGGACAAUGGGGGGAACCCUGAUCCAGCCAUGCCGCGUGUGUGAAGAAGGCCUUAUGGUUGUAAAGCACUUUAAGCGAGGAGGAGGCUACUGAGACUAAUACUCUUGGAUAGUGGACGUUACUCGCAGAAUAAGCACCGGCUAACUCUGCGCCAGCAGCCGCGGUAAAAC
rnacentral:rRNA from 1 species